AUGAAGCUGUUCCUGAGAGUUAUUCUGGUGAUUUUGUGGUUUCCAGUGGAUUGGGUAAGCAGCCAAAAGAUGGAACAGAAUCCGCAGUCCCUGAGCAUCCAGGAGGGUGAGAAGGCCGUGCUGACCUGUAACUACACGAAUUAUUCUCCAGUGGUCUUCCAGUGGUAUCGACAAGAUCUGGGAAGAGGCCUUGUCUUCUUGCUACUAAUACGUGAAAAUGAGGUUGAAAAACAGACAGGAAGACUGAGGGCCACCUUUGAUAAGACCAUCCAGCAGAGUUCCUUUUAUAUCACGAAGUCCCAGCCUGCAGACUCAGCCACCUACUUCUGUGCUGCAGACACACAGCAGGGCCCUGCCACCCGCUUCCUGCACCCAAACUCUGCCAGCGGCUCAGUCAGCAGAGCUGCUGGCUGUGCUGACCUCAAGAGCUGA